GCUUUCGUGGGGCAAUGGUCAGCGCACUCGACGCGUAAUCGAGAGAUCCGAGGUUCGAGUCCCGGUGAGGGCA
rnacentral:tRNA from 1 species